UGUGAAGCCUAAGGCAGAUAAAAGGCAGUGGCGUUGAAUCACGAGGAUGUAGGUAAAAUCACGUGGAGCAGAGUAGCAGAAGCAGCGUUGGACAGCCGCACUUGGCAGCAGAAAUAAGCAUCAGCAGAAAGGGCUUCCUUGGCCAGCAGACUGGUAUUGGGCCAUCGGUGAGGUGGGUCUAUGUGUCUCUCCCUUGCAGAUUCCAACUCUCACAAGAAAAAAUGGUUGAGAAACUGCAUUGGAAUGUCCUCUUAAGAUACGAGAAACCACUUUGGAGCCUGAAUUAUCCAAUAUGGCUAGCUACAGUGAUCAAAUUAAUGGACUCUUUCACUUUGCUGAAUUAAAUGUUUCACUUCUCUUUACCAUCAAUUCCCUUCACCAUCUGUGAAGUUUAGACCAAACCUGAGGACAACACAUUUGAAUUGCUUUGAUUUUCAAUAUUGUACUGUAAAGAACUGAGCAUGAAUUCGAGAGGAUGGAGUCAGUCAAUAAAGCAAUGGAAUUUAUUGAA